GGGUUAUCUCGUCCCUUUUCGGCGCCGAGAGUACACGUGCAACCCACGUGAUGUUUGCUAAAUAGCUACAUGCCUACCUACUGCCCCAACUUCACUUUGUUUGGAAAAGAAGAACCUCCCACCGCCUCUCAUCUCCUUCUCAAAUAUCUCAGAUCUACUCUCCUCUGAUUGGAAUUAAUAUCUUGUUCGUCAUAUCAAUGGGUUUAACAUCUUCUACCUUCAAGGUCUUGUGAAAGACCGUCCAAUGUGAUACGGAGCAACAUGAGAAUGAAGGCCAUGACACUUGAGCUUAUAAGCUACUACCACUAUUAGAUCCUAGUUCUUCUAGGCUUUAGUUCUUCGGUUAAGUAGAUACAAUUGUAUUUUUUUAUUAUGUUUUGGACUAUUUAGUUAUUAACAUUUAUGUAUUAUGGAAUUUGGUUAGAAACAUUAUCAUGUACUAUGGAUAUAUUAUGGUUAAUUAGUAGCAUUACCAUGUACUAUGGAUUUAAAGUACUACGUACUCCUAGAAUUUUAUAAUUUAUUGUUAAUGUUACAUUGA